rnacentral:rRNA from 1 species
UACAGAGGGUGCAAGCGUUAAUCGGAAUUACUGGGCGUAAAGCGCAUGUAGGUGGGAGAACAAGUUUGAUGUGAAAGCCCUGGGCUUAACCUGGGAAUGGCGUUGAAGACUGUUUUUCUAGAGUUUGACAGAGGGUCGUGGAAUUUCCGGUGUAGCGGUGAAAUGCGUAGAGAUACGGGAGGAAGGCCGGUGGCGAAGGCGGCGCUCUGGAACAUUUCUGACGCUGAGGCUCGAAAGCGUGGGGAGCAAACAGG